CAGGCCGUAGUGUACCGGCAACACGCUAUCCUCGGGCGAUAGAGAUAGAGGGUUCGAUUCCCUCCGGCCUGA
rfam:Candidatus Yanofskybacteria bacterium RIFCSPLOWO2_01_FTLL_42_49 rifcsplowo2_01_scaffold_287, whole genome shotgun sequence.